rnacentral:lncRNA from 1 species
AAGCCCUCUUGUUUUGAAUUGUUCUGCUGUCCAGAAUGAAGGAGGCAAGGGUACUAGACUCUCUGAUACCCUCAUUUCUUCUUGUCUUUCAGAUUUUGAGUCCUUUCUGCUCUUGGCUAAAUUUUAUCCUACAUCCACCUAAUUUACUCCCCUGUUAACUUUACUUUCAGAUCAUAAUCAGGUCACAAAAUUAACUCUGUCUGCAAGUGUUUUCUUUUUUUUUUUUUUUUUAGUCUGGCCCAACCUAAUUUUCUUAGUUUUUCAAAAAUUAUGAUUAUUUAUCUUGAGCAUGUUUAUCUCUACACCUUU